ACUUAUCAUGUUACUGAACUCUCUUUGUUCAAAAAGGACAAGGACUAUACAGUUAACAAGAUUCCUUGUUUGCUAACCGUUGUCUGCCACCCUUGAAUCUCCCUGUUUCUCAACAACCAAAAAAGAGCCAUUUAGGUAAUGACCGAGAAGAUGCGGCAUACAUUAACCACCUAUCACCACGCUACUGCAAUACUUCAUGACACUUUCUUUAGCAUCAGGAAAUUUAUCUCAACAUGUGGAGUAAUGCUGUUGGUUGCUGUGAAUUCCAUUUUUACGGUUUUGUCAUCAUGAACUUUUCAGUUUGCUUCUUAGAAAAGAGCACACAGUUUCUUUGUGGAAUCGUGUGGUCCUGGCACGAAUAUUCUUGAGCCAACGCUGGCUUUUGUCCAUGACCAACGUUCUGCUCCAUCCUUAUGUUCCCGGCGUAAACUUUUCCAGCUUCUGCUUCAUCGCUUUGUACACAAAAAUACAACUUGUCUUGCUUCACUGACGAGUUGGAACACUUCAGCCGUCGCUUCCGUGCCUCUGUUACACACCUGCAGUCACUCACCACGGGAUUAUGCCCAGGUAAUGCAGAGGAGACGUCGAGAAGAUGAACACUAAAACAUCUCCGGUAUCACCAAAAGUCAGCGCGGAUCAUCAUUUGUUGUUGUUAAUAUGUUGUUGUUUGUGUUAGUUAACCCGUUGUCUGCCACGCCUUUGUUCUCCCCUAGCUCCUUUGCACGGGCCGCGCUGGUCGGCCUCGUGGAUUUCAUGCCGCGAGGUCGGAAUGUCGCCAAGCCCAAAAUUUGCCGCAAGGCAAGCCUAUUAGGCAAUGCACCAUAGUUCCCCCUUGUCGAUGCGGUGACUUGUCAGCAAUGGCAAGUCCCACCUUGGUCAUGG